CAGAGUUAUCCAACUCCCAAACCCAUGUGAACUUAUCUCUUUGUUGCCUCGGCGCAAGCUACCCGGGACCUCGCGCCCCGGGCGGCCCGCCGGCGGACAAACCAAAACUCUUGUUAUCUUAGUUGAUUAUCUGAGUGUCUUAUUUAAUAAGUC
rnacentral:misc_RNA from 1 species